rnacentral:rRNA from 1 species
ACGUAGGGGGCGAGCGUUGUCCGGAUUUAUUGGGCGUAAAGGGCGUGUAGGCGGUCUGUUAAGUCAGAGGUGAAAAUCCAGGGCUCAACCCUGGAACUGCCUCUGAAACUGGUGGACUUGAGUGCUCUAGAGGGCAGUGGAAUUCCCGGUGUAGCAGUGAAAUGCGUAGAGAUCGGGAGGAACACCAGUGGCGAAGGCGGCUUUCUGGCCUGUAACUGACGCUGAGGCGCGAAGGCUGGGGUAGCGAACAGGA